AUUUUCCAUGGAUCCCUUGUCCAAAAUUCCUUUCAUCUGUUGUUGCUACGUAGCAAUAUUCAUAAACAUUCAGUUGUAAAAAAUGGCUGCGGACCCCCUGCAGUACAUCCGACCCUUCUUUGGGAACCCCUGGCCUAGCCUACUCUGUCUAGUUGUAGAUGAAGCAGUAGAGUACUGUGUCUCUCCUACAUAUCUGGGAGUCAUAUGCCACCCUGUGGUCGAUGCAGUACACAAGCACGAGGACACGACUACGCAUCAAUGCCUGGAAUGCUACGGAACACCAGAAAUCGUUAGUCAUUCGUCUGUGUGUGCUUGAACGUGAAUUCAACAUUUUGACACAUCGCCAACUUUUGUGAUAUCAGACAGGCAUUUUGAUAUUAAAAAUCAAUGUAUAGAUUAUUCCUAUCAUGCAACAACGGAAGACAUUUAGUCGGAUAGUGAUAUAAUGUAGUAAAACUAAAUUAAUCGCUUUUCACCACUGUCCUACGCAUCAUUAAAUCCUAGUCGAUAUGAUGCGUUACCGGGAGCCAAAGUGGUAGCUAACCUGUCAGCCGAAAAUGUUGGCACUGGAAUCACUACCACUAAACCGAUGUGUAUGACUCAUUCAUACCUGGCAAUGGAGACACGGUGAUUAAGAGGACCGGGCGCGGUUCAGCCAUUGCACUCCGGCUGUGAUGAUCCCUGCACUGUUGAAAUAUCGAUUGCAACAUUUCUGGUAGCUCUGCCCUGAUCUUGCUGUCUAAAAGUACUUGUAUGUAAUUAGUCUGUUGCUGGUGGUCCAAGUUGUGAUUUUGUGAUCUGUUGAGUUUCGUGUUGAGAAAUAGAUUUGUUAGCAUUUACCUUUAGGUUACUUUAGCUUUGCUUCUUCAUCGGAUAAAUGGUUAUAGAAUUUAGCAUCUACUGUAUUUCAAAGCGAACUAAGCCCACUAACUUUUAUUUUAUAUAUUUCGAAUACCCCGAUUGUUGGCGAAUAUGUGCUGAUAAUUUAUUGGCCUAAUAGGCCUACAUUUGAAUGGAUUGUUUUGCGUCCUCAGACAUAAUCGGUUUUAUUUGCUAGAUAAUAAAGUAUUUAUAAGUUUGUAAUUCAAGACCACGAUAAAUAAUAGAUUACUGCUCAUUGUAACAUAAAUACAUUACACAUUUGUGUGCUGCUAUACGGUUAGUUCAAUAAAAACAUUAUUGAAUGACUUUCAGGGAAUCACAUUAACUUGAAAAGUGCGCCUAAAGUUGAAUUGUCCAGCAUCACAUCGAAAUAUAUUGGUCUGGUACACAGUUUAGCAGAUGUUAUAGCUUGUGUUACUAACAGUGCCGCAAAAAUGUCAAACAAGUACACAAAUAAUAAUAAAAAACUAAGAACAAGAAAUCACUAAUGUCAGAAUCCAAUGAACAACCCAAUAACACUAUCAUCUAUGCCUACAUACACGAACAAUAUAUACUUUUUCGUGUAUUUUUAUGUACAGCAGUAUAUAUAUAUAUAUACAGCGAGCUAUGUUGAGCAUCCAGUGCAUAAAUAAACAGUGUAACAAAAUGCAAUGUACAGUAGUAGAUAUAGUAGAAUGAGCUCUGUGAAUAAUGCAGUAUGAAUACACUGUGUGAAAACAGUAUAAAAUAAAUGAUCCAGUGUUUCUUAUUUUUCCUUUAUUUAACUAGGCAUGUCAGUUAAGAACAAAUUCUUAUUUUCCUAGGCCUAGGAACAGUGGGUUGUUCAGGAGCAGAACGACAGAUUUGUACCUUGUAAGCUCAGGGAUUCGAACUUGCAACCUUUCGGUUACUAGCCCAACGCUCUAACCACUAGGCGUGCUGCCCCGCCUAUAUAAGGUCCCACAGUCGACAGUGCAUGUCAGAGCAAAAACCAAGCCAUGAGGUCAAAGGAAUUGUCCGUAGAGCACCGAGACAGGAUUGUGUUGAGACACUGAUCUGGGGAAGGGUACCAAAAAAUGUCUGCAGCAUUGAAGGUCCCCAAGAACACAGUGGCCGCCAUCAUUCUUAAAUGGAAGAAGUUUGGAACCACCAAGACUUUUCCACCAAGACCUUUCCGCCCGGCCAAACUGAGCAAUCGGGGGAGAAGGGCCUUGGUCCGGGAGGUGACCAAGAACCCAAUAGUCACUCUGACAGAGCUCCAGAGUUCCUCUGUGGAGAUGGGAGAACCUUCCAGAAGGACAACCAUUGGUACUGAAUUGCGUGAGGACGUCCGUCGGGAGCUAGUGGGGAGCUAGCCUGUAGAGAUACCACCCUCACCUUGGACCCGCUGGUGGACAUGUCCAUUCGGCUGGACAACUUGCUGGUUACCCGAGGACGUCCGCAUUGGGCUCUGUCAGUUUCAUCCCCCAGCACCUCCGCUCCGACGCCCAUGGAGCUGGGAGGUGCUGCAGCGAGGGCGACCGGAGGAGGAGCCCUUUCCUGCACCAGAUGUGGUCAUAGAGGGCACACUGCUGACCGGUGCUGGAGGAGCUCUUCUGGGAGUCGAGAUGACUGUUCGGUCACCCCAGACGACAAGGAGGGAGCAACGGUAACAGUGGCUUGACCGUGGAUGGCGCUGUCUCACUGGUCCAGCGGACAAGGCCGGAUACGCUGGAAGGGAAAAUGGAAAGAUCCAGCACCAGUCCCAACACCAAUCCAGAUCCCGGUUUCUAGCACCAGUCCCAGCACCAGGCCACCAGACUACCUGCAGACAAGGAACCAAAUCUUCACCCAGAGCGAGCAGGCCACAGGGUAGUACUACCAUUGAACUUUGGGUCUAGGGCUCCCUUGUGUGUUGGUUUGCUCCUCAGGUUGUCCUUCAUCCCCUCCACAGAUCCAGAUCGCGACCCAGCACCUGCAGCAGCCCCAGUUUCCGGUUCCUGGUUCCCGGUUCCCCAUUCAUGUUUUCCCGGUCCCCAGUCCCAGCAAAAGACCCAGCACCAACCCCUGGUCUCCAGUCCUGGGCCCAGAUUCCCAAAACCUUCUUAAAAAGAAGGAUCUGACCCUUUUUUCAAUUUUCUCCAAAAAUGGCAUACACAAAUCUAACUGCCUGUAGCUCAGGACCUGAAGCAAGGAUAUGCAUAUUCUUGAUAUCAUUUGAAAGGAAACACUUUGAAAUUUGUGGAAAUGUGAAAUUAAUUUAGGAAAAUACAACUCAUUUGAUCUGGUAAAAGAUAAUACAAACAAAUAAGCACGCACAUUUAUUUUAGCACAUUCACUAAUUUGUUUGUUAACAAUUAGCAAGCUAGUUUGCUACCACAUGUUCAUAUAAAAUCAGAUUUGACCAUUCAGACACAAGUCUGGCCACGAAUCAUAUUUGUAUCCGACUUCAAACUACCUAUGAAGGUGAUUUGAAAUGUGGUUUGAAAUAUUUGAUUCCAUGUGCUUUUUGGCUGUAAAAAAAAGGACAUAUUUGAAUCGGAUAUGCAAAUAAACAGGAUUUGAGUCACGUCAAACUGCCAAUGUGAACAUGGCUGUAAUAUUUUGUACAUCGGUGUAAGGUGUAGCACCUUAAUGCAUCUCAACUACAGGUUUCACAUAGGCUUUUAGUAAAGUCACAUACUUCUCUAAGUCUCUUUAAUGUAUCAAAAAUGUCA
rnacentral:lncRNA from 1 species